CAGCUUCUCGUCGUCUCAGAGCCCCGCCCUCUAUCUCACUGUCGGAGACUUGGUGACAAAUCUGGUCAUCAGGGUGGUGGUCUUCGUCCCGGCUCUGCUCAUAUUUGAUCUUUGCCUCUUCUUCUUCUAUAAGGUCUCCGUGAAGCGGAUCCGAAUGAAGGCGGAGACAAACACGAUGAGAGUUGUGGAGGAAACAUCCCAUUUGUAGAGUCCCAG